CCUACGGUGCGCUGCAGUGGGGAAUAUUGGACAAUGGGCGAAAGCCUGAUCCAGCCAUGCCGCGUGUGUGAAGAAGGCCUUCGGGUUGUAAAGCACUUUCAGUGGGGAAGAAAGCCUUGGGGCUAAUACCCUCGAGGAAGGACAUCACCCACAGAAGAAGCACCGGCUAACUCCGUGCCAGCAGCCGCGGUAAUACGGAGGGUGCGAGCGUUAAUCGGAAUUACUGGGCGUAAAGCGCGCGUAGGCGGUCUGAUAAGCCGGUUGUGAAAGCCCCGGGCUCAACCUGGGAACGGCAUCCGGAACUGUCAGGCUAGAGUGCAGGAGAGGAAGGUAGAAUUCCCGGUGUAGCGGUGAAAUGCGUAGAGAUCGGGAGGAAUACCAGUGGCGAAGGCGGCCUUCUGGACUGACACUGACGCUGAGGUGCGAAAGCGUGGGUAGCAAACAGGAUUAGAUACCCCAGUAGUC
rnacentral:rRNA from 1 species